AUUGAGUACCAGGGGCAGGGCAGGCAUGAUGUCUCUGAUGGCCCUCCCAGUGAGUGGGUAGAUGCCACCAGGGAGUCCACACAGGGAGAGGAGGAGAUGGGAGAGAGGAAACAGCUGGGAACCAGGGUUCCAGUGACAGAUGGAUCUCUUGUGCACACUUGCUCUUUCCCUCUCUGUAGUUUUGUUUUCGACAUGUUUGAUUUGAAGCUCUGAAGCUUCUCAGAGAGAACCCAGGAGAGAAGGAAGAGAAGGAGGAGGAACCAAGGGAGCGUGAGCGACAGAGGAGGCAGCCCUGCCUUGUUCUUCCAAAUCACACCGUGGAAGGGCAGGGGAAGACUAGAGGCGGGGAGGACUUGGAAAAGAAGCACAAGGUAGCUCCCAGACCAACCAUCCAUGGUCAUAGCUUUUGGGUGUACUGCAAGCAGAUUGCAUGUGUUCCCCCUGCUCCAUGCUCCUGGCUUGACCCAGAGGGCAAGAAGAAACAAUGGUGAUGACACCCAGUAGGACUGGGGUGCUCAUGCCCUUCCAUUGCUAAACCCCAGGUACUGGCCCUUUCUCUUCCCUCUGCCCCUU
rnacentral:lncRNA from 1 species